rnacentral:misc_RNA from 1 species
GCUGGAACAAAAGUAUGGUCUCAGUUUUGAAGCCCAGUGUAACCAAAAUCAGGCCUAUGUUCCAACUCUGUCCUGCCUCCGGAAGAGCGACAAACAGGCGAGAGGCGCAAAGCCUCGUCGAGUCAUGUCAUCGGCUCACCCUGGUUAUGCUUGUGCUGUGCAGAGCGCUUUGCAGCAGGUCGCCCGCCGCUCCCGCUUGUGUGUCACAGUGCACACGCGCGCGCAGGAGGCGGACCUAUAUCCUUUCUAUUGCAAGUCAGGCCGCUGGGCGCUGGCCGCUCCAUCUUUACUGUUCUGCGCAAGGGUCCGCGACCUCUGCUGCUUUUUACAAUUGCUGCCGCCGUCUCGUGUUGUUGGCUGUUAUAGCGGUGAUCGAUCACUCACUGUCACUGCCCGUUCUGCACUCACUUGAUUGUAGGCCAGUUCACAACUCAAACUGUGCUGAUGAGUGAUGACUCUAGUACACGCUCCGGUUCAGCAGUUCGCAACUACUAGCAGUACAUGAUGCAACCGCUCACAGUUACAGCCACACGUUUUCACCUGUUUGGAACGCAAUAAUUUAGGGUUGAUUUGGUGACAAGGGGAUCCCGGUAGGAUUAGAGGGGAUUGAGGGGGA